GUGGAUUAGAUACCCUGGUAGUCCUAGCCGUAAACGAUGAUUACUAGGUGUUAGUGGUAUCAAGCCCACUAGUGCCGAAGCUAACGCGAUAAGUAAUCCGCCUGGGGACUACGAUCGCAAGAUUAAAACUCAAAGGAAUUGACGGGGGCCCGCACAAGCAGCGGAGCGUGUGGUUUAAUUCGAGGCUACGCGAAGAACCUUACCCAGGUUUGACAUGCAGGUAGUAGUGAAGCGAAAGCGGAACGAUCCUUCGGGAAGCCUGCACAGGUGAUGCACGUUUGUCGUCAACU
rnacentral:rRNA from 1 species